rnacentral:rRNA from 1 species
GACGAACGCUGGCGGCGUGCCUAAUACAUGCAAGUCGAACGCAGUGGGGACGGGUGAGUAACACGUGGGUAACCUCCCAUCAGAGGGGAUAACACUUGGAAACAGGUGCUAAACCGCUACUGAUGGAUGGACCCGCGGUGCAUUAGCUAGUUGGUGAGGUAACGGCUCACCAAUGCCACGAUGCAUAGACGACCUGGUAGUGUGAUCGGCAACAGUGGGAAUGAGACAGGGCCCAGACUCCGAAGGGAGGCAGCAGGAGGGAAUCUUCGGCAAUGGACGAAAGUCGGACCGAGCAACGCCGCGUGAGUGAAGAAGGUUUUCGGAGCGUAAAACUCUGUUGUUAGAGAAGCGGUAUCUAACCAGAAAGCCACGGCUAACUACGUGCCAGCAGCCGCGGUAAUUC